rnacentral:rRNA from 1 species
AUUGACGCUGGCGGCAAGCCUAACACAUGCAAGUCGAACGAGUGGCGGACGGGUGAGUAAUGUCUGGGAAACUGCCUGAUGGAGGGGGAUAACUACUGGAAACGUUAGCUAAUAGCUGCCACUUAAGGAGGGGAUUGCGUCUGAUUAGCUAGUUGGAGGGGUAACGGCCCACCGAGGCGACGAUCCCUAGAUGGUCUGAGAGGUUGACCAGCCACACAGGAACUGAGAAACGGUCCAGACUCCGACGGGAGGCAGCAGUGGGGAAUAUUGCACAAUGGGCGCAAGCCUGAUACAGCCAUGCCGCGUGUAUGAAGAAGGCAUUCGGGUUGUAAAGUACUUUCAGCGGGGAGGCGUUACCCGCAGAAGAAGCACCGGCUAACUCCGUGCCAGCAGCCGCGGUAAUUC